rnacentral:rRNA from 1 species
UACGGAGGGGACUAGCGUUGUUCGGAUUUACUGGGCGUAAAGCGCACGUAGGCGGAUUUGUAAGUCAGUGGUGAAAUCCCGGGGCUCAACCUCGGAACUGCCUUUGAUACUGCAAAUCUCGAGUCCGGAAGAGGUGAGUGGAAUUCCUAGUGUAGAGGUGAAAUUCGUAGAUAUUAGGAAGAACACCAGUGGCGAAGGCGGCUCACUGGUCCGGUACUGACGCUGAGGUGCGAAAGCGUGGGGAGCAAACAGG